rnacentral:rRNA from 1 species
AUUGAACGCUGGCGGCAGGCCUAACACAUGCAAGUCGAGCGGUAGAGAGGAGCUUGCUUCUCUUGAGAGCGGCGGACGGGUGAGUAAUGCCUAGGAAUCUGCCUGGUAGUGGGGGAUAACGUUCGGAAACGGACGCUAGUACCGCAUACGUCCUACGGGAGAAAGUGGGGGAUCUUCGGACCUCACGCUAUCAGAUGAGCCUAGGUCGGAUUAGCUAGUUGGUGAGGUAAAGGCUCACCAAGGCGACGAUCCGUAACUGGUCUGAGAGGAUGAUCAGUCACACUGGAACUGAGACACGGUCCAGACUCCUACGGGAGGCAGCAGUGGGGAAUAUUGGACAAUGGGCGCAAGCCUGAUCCAGCCAUGCCGCGUGUGUGAAGAAGGUCUUCGGAUUGUAAAGCACUUUAAGUUGGGAGGAAGGUCAGUAGCUUAAUACGUUGCUGAUUUGACGUUACCGACAGAAUAAGCACCGGCUAACUCUGUGCCAGCCGCCGCAGUAAGAC